rnacentral:tRNA from 1 species
UAUAGCUCAGUGGUAGAGCACUUGCUUAGCAUGUAUGAGGCUCUGGGUUCAAUCCCUAAUA